rfam:Homo sapiens chromosome 4, GRCh38 reference primary assembly.
GCCAGGCAUGGUGGCGGGUGCCUGUAAUCCCAGCUACUUGGGAGGCUGAGGCAGGAGACUUGCUUGAACCCAGGAGGCAGAGGUUGCAGUGAGCCAAGAUUGCGCCACUGCACUCCAGCCUGGGUGACCAAGCAAGACUCUGUCUCUA